UACGUAGGGUGCGAGCGUUGUCCGGAUUUAUUGGGCGUAAAGAGCUCGUAGGCGGUUUGUCGCGUCGGCCGUGAAAUCUCCACGCUUAACGUGGAGCGUGCGGUCGAUACGGGCAGACUUGAGUUCGGUAGGGGAGACUGGAAUUCCUGGUGUAGCGGUGAAAUGCGCAGAUAUCAGGAGGAACACCGGUGGCGAAGGCGGGUCUCUGGGCCGAUACUGACGCUGGAGGAAGCGAAAGGCGUGGGGAGCGAACAGGAUUAGACUACCC
rnacentral:rRNA from 1 species